rnacentral:rRNA from 1 species
CGUAGGUGGCAAGCGUUGUCCGGAUUUAUUGGGUUUAAAGGGUGCGUAGGCGGUCUGUUAAGUCAGUGGUGAAAUAUGGCAGCUUAACUGUCAGGGUGCCAUUGAUACUGAUGGACUUGAGUGAAGUCGAAGUAGGCGGAAUUGACGGUGUAGCGGUGAAAUGCUUAGAUACCGUCAAGAACACCGAUAGUGAAGACAGCUUACUAGGCUUAUACUGACGCUGAGGCACGAAAGUGUGGGGAUCAAACAGGAUUAGAUACCCUGGUAGUCCACACUGUAAACGUUGAUGACUCGCUGUUGGCGAUAUACAGCCAGCGGCCAAGCGCAAGCGAUAAGUCAUCCACCUGGGGAGUACGCCGGCAACGGUG